ensembl:lncRNA
CAUAAAUACCAACUCGGAGCAAACAAGUAUCACAGCCUCACCUGGGAGCCUGGUGAAGACAUCAGAGGCAGUGCACUCAUAACUGUUACCUGAGGACAAACUACAAACACAAGGUCUUCCUUCCAAGGAAUAAUUACUACUUUCUCUCUCUUGCACGAAAGACAAGAUCUACAGUCUACUAUAGGCAUGGACAACAGACUACUCUUCACUGUCCUGGUUGUGAUGAUGUCCUUGAACUUUAUGGGCACCUAUGCUCAAACAUCCCCACCCCUACCCCCACCCCCACCCCCACCCCCACCCGCACCAUCCACCACAACUGCAGCAGCCACCACAACUGCAGCAGCCACCACAACUGCACCAACCACCACAACUGCACCAACCACCACAACUGCACCAACGACCACAACUGCACCAACCACCACAACUGCAGCCACCACGACACCAACCACCACAACUGCACCAACCACCACACCAACACCAACCACCACAACUGCGGCAAUCACAACUGGAACACCAAACAUUACAAUCACCACUCCAGCAACAACUGGUCCCACAACCACUGAUCACGCAAUCACAAUCCAGCAAUCAGUAAUGCAAGCUCUACUGAUCACUGUGGCUACCCUGGGUCUAAGUAUGAUAUGAGGAAAAUAAAACCUUCAACCAUCAAAAGAACUUCCCCAUCCAUGCAUCUGUGCUAUUGAAUGUAAACCUUUAAAGGUCUUUCUGGAGUUUAACUUUACAUAGUGUAACCCUGAUUGAUAGGAUUAUUUUUGUAAUAACUCAACACAGGUUAAAGCAAGAGGACUGGUAAAACUGGUAACUCUUACAACUUUUUGAGACUUUAGCAACUCUGAUUUAAAAAAAAAAAAAAAAAAAACUGUUAAGAGUUUUAUGAGUUAUGUAACUAUAUUUAAACACAAUACUGCUGGGUUUUUGCCCUAUGCCUCAGAUGCAAUGUAUUCAUUAAAAUGUCUAAAACAGGGCACAAAUAAAAAGUAGAAUUAUAAUAGAAGCAUUAAGACUAAUCAAAAGAAAAAUUUAGAUCAUGUCAACGAAUCAUGGCUGUCAUCAGCAAAUGUCUUGGGUUCUAUAAAUUUUAGGUUUAGGGUCUAGUUACCUCUUAAACCCACAUUAUUACUGUCAAAAACACUACAGCCAUGGAACUGUUAAACUGUCAUGGAAGGAAAACAUUUUCCGACACAAUAAUGUCCAAAGUUAUAAUCAAUAACAUACUGAACCAAUGACAAACUUUUGUUAACAAAAAAAUUCUUUUGCAUAUGCACAGAACAGACAGGUUUGUUCAUAUCACUAUUUGCAUUUACGCAUAAUAGUUUUGUGGUACACUAAAAGCAAGCAAAGACUGUGUUUUUUCUGCUCUGUUAUUACUCACAAUGAUGCUAGCUAAUGGCAGAUGUGUUUUUACAUCAUGUUCUUGUUACUGUUAAUGUACACAGACAGUUGAUUCUUCAACAAUGCUUUCACAAUGAAGCCUCACUGGCUGACACCGAACAUUGAAGAAAUUAAUUUUGCAUACUGACUUAUGUAACAAUGAAGUUUAUAUUGUAUGUUUACGAUUUUAGCCCUGUUAAUAAAGUGAUAUUGUUGGCAGACAGAAAAUGCCAGACUGUCUAGACUAUCUUAUUAACAAGCAGGUUUGAAGAUCUGAAUCUGAACCUUUAGCAUUAUGUAACUUUAAAUAAUUUUUUUAAUUAUUAUUAUCAUUUUUAUGGAUUAUUUAUGAAAUCUAGGCAAAAGAGGUAAAAGGUACUGACUACCAAGGAAAUAAAAUAAAACCAUUGCGGAAAGACAGGUGGUUACACAUUUCCGCUAGUUAGCAAAGGUUAGGAUGCUGCUAUUGCUAGCUAACGUUAGCCCAAGUUCAUUCUAUUCACAGACACUUGAAAGUGCUCCGGAGGUCACACAGGUUUGAGAAAAUCCAGAAAAUCCAUGGAACAGAAAAUCCAGUUGAAUAUUAAAGUUAAGGGAAAUCCAUGAUUUGCUUUACAAGAUGUAGAUAUCCAUUUGGGUUUCUUGUUCUUUAUGCAAACAACCCAGACUGAGAAUUUACAUGUUCUCAUAUUCCAGAACAAAUUAAAUAUGUGACUGGUGAUGCUCAGAGGAAAACCAAAGGGGCGACAAGCAAGUUUAACUGUUAGUUCAUGUUUAUCAGCCUUAAAAACGUCAUAGUAUAGCAUGUCGUCCAAAAAAAAACCUUUAUAGUAUGGAAAGUUGUCAAAAAAAAUGUCACAGCAUAUCCUCAAAAAAAUGUCAUAGUAUAGUAUGUCGUCCAAAAAACAACAUAUAACAUUUCCUCAAAAAAACGCACUAGUAUAGUAUGUCGUCCAAAAAACAUCAUAUUAUAACAUUUCCUCAAAAAAACACACUAGUAUAGUAUGUCAUCCAAAAAACAUUAUAGUAUAACAUGACAUCCAAAAAAUGUCAUAGUAUAGCAUGUCGUCCAAAAAAAC